GUCAUCUUGAACAAUUCAGAAGUAAGGCCCCUAACACCAAAGACCGCCACAUUGGGGACAACUGGCAACCUUUAUCCAUGAUUCAGGAAGGCACCACAUCCAAAGGCCCUACACUCUCUGGUGAUCUGGAGCCAUUCGUCCAUCUUCCAAGACCAGAGAGUAAGCAGAUGGCACCUGGAAGACAGGAGCAUCCUCAGUGAUGUGAUCUGUCACUGAGAAGCUGCUAACCCUUUGAAGUUGAACCCAACAUCUUCUACCAGACAAGCAGCUGAUACCUGUGGAACCCAGGAGCUAUAGUCCAUCCACUUCUCUUCAGUUUCUCUACGGUCAACGCUCUUCUCUCUCUCAGCCACUGCUUUUGCCUCCUUCCCCACACUAAUUCACAGAAGUUUCAAAAUCAAUACCUCUGAUGUUAUAUUCUCUGCUUCUCUGAGUGAUGACUGGUGAGAGUCUGCAUGUUUAAUUUAUACAAUAAACUCAU